AAAGUAUAUUCUUAGUUUUUUGGUUUGUUUACUUAUAAACAUCUUUGCUUCUCCACCUACCCCCACUUUGCUUCCCCCAGGCAGAAAGACUGCUCCAGAACCUUCUUCAUCUUCGACUUCAACAUCGACAUCUCCCUCCUCAGAAUCAAGCUUUUUAUCAUCCUCAGAAGAAGAGAAGAAAAAGUCCAGGAAGAAGAAGUCCAAGAAAAAGACCAAGAAGUCAAAAAAACACCCUGGAUCAUACAGUCGUUCAAGAAUAACCACAACAGAUGGAGUGAUCCGUCGCUAUAGGAAUGUCCUUCGGAUCUUCAAAAAGUGUGGAUCCAUGAAGAAAGCCUUCGCGAAAAUGAACGUUGAUCGAAACACGAUUGCACGCACAGCUAUAAUUGCUGAGCUCGCAAUUACUUUUCGGGACGCAUUCCAAGGUCUGCUGACAGGUGACGAAGAUCAAAUGAAGAUUUGUGUGCUUGCAGAGCGUUGCCGCGGGGCUAUAAACGAGGAGAUGGCCGAAACCAUCACAGCAUGCAAAAAAAAUGGAAAGCUCCUCCCAAUAAUGUAUAAGUAUACUUAAUAAUUUUCAUUUUGUUAAACUGUUUAAACUUGCUGUUGAACUUAAAGUUAAUGUGUUUAUACAUACACAAUAUAUGUAGAAAUUUUCUAUGUGUUAUGUUUUGUGUUGGAAUACAUAAAGGAAACACUACCUCUUGACUUGUUUGUUGCUUUUGUUAAGGUAUUUAUAUCAUCUGACAGUGUAAUAACACUUAAUGACAUUUUAACGAAACAUUCAAAUUGUUCCACUUUACUUGAAUUCAAAGAAAACAGUUAUGACACAAUUAUAAACUGGUUUGACUAUGUAAUAACAUAAAAUGACAUAUUAAUUGAAGAAUCUAAUUGUUCCACUUUACUUGAAUUCAAAGAAAACAGUCGUGACACUGUUAUAAAGUCAUUUGGCAGUGUAGUUACACUUAACGACAUCUUAAAGAAAGGGACAACAUUUAUGACACAGUUGUAAUGGUUUUGUGACAGCGAGUGUCAAAACCAUCCAUAUAGGACGGUUUAAUGUCGCUCUAAGAUAUGAAACCAAACGUUUUUCUUAAGUUUGACAGUUAGGUCUGCUAUGACAUGUUUAUGACAGGUUUUGUUGUCUUGGCUUAUGUCAAGUUGUCAUAACAAGGACAUCUCAAACAAUGUCACCUUUGCAUCAAAAGUGACAUAACUUACCGAAUGACACUUAACGACAACUGUCAUAAGUAUUCAUUGAUAUUUAUGACAGCUGUCAUGUCAUGGUUAUGACAAUGUUAUGUCAGUCUUAUGAACACCCAUUCAAGUAAAGUGUUACCCAUAUUUCUAUCUUGAAAAGAAUUUUUGUUCUGACUCUCAUUUUGGGGAUGAAUGAUAUGACUAAUGGGCUUGAUGUAUGUUGCAGGAUUAGGUCCAGGCAAUGUGGAGCUAUAAGGGGUGCACAGAAACUGGAUCAAAGCCUGUGUAAAAACACCACUGUUGGGAUCUAUGUCGUCAAACAACAUCC